CCUACGGGAGGCAGCAGUGAGGAAUAUUGGUCAAUGGACGAGAGUCUGAACCAGCCAAGUAGCGUGAAGGAUGACUGCCCUAUGGGUUGUAAACUUCUUUUAUAUGGGAAUAAAAUGAUCCACGUGUGGGAUUUUGUAUGUACCAUAUGAAUAAGGAUCGGCUAACUCCGUGCCAGCAGCCGCGGUAAUACGGAGGAUCCGAGCGUUAUCCGGAUUUAUUGGGUUUAAAGGGAGCGUAGGUGGAUUGUUAAGUCAGUUGUGAAAGUUUGCGGCUCAACCGUAAAAUUGCAGUUGAAACUGGCAGUCUUGAGUACAGUAGAGGUGGGCGGAAUUCGUGGUGUAGCGGUGAAAUGCUUAGAUAUCACGAAGAACUCCGAUUGCGAAGGCAGUUCACUGGACUGCAACUGACACUGAGGCUCGAAAGUGUGGGUAUCAAACAGGAUUAGAUACCCCAGUAGUC
rnacentral:rRNA from 1 species